UACGUAGGGUGCGAGCGUUGUCCGGAAUUACUGGGCGGAAAGAGCUCGUAGGUGGUUUGUCGCGUUGUUCGUGAAAACUCACAGCUUAACUGUGGGCGUGCGGGCGAUACGGGCAGACUGGAGUACUGCAGGGGAGACUGGAAUUCCUGGUGUAGCGGUGGAAUGCGUAGAUAUCAAGAGGAACACCUGAGGUGAAGACGGGUUGCUGGGCUGACACUGACGCUGAGGCGCGAAAGCCAGGGGAGCAAACGGG
rnacentral:rRNA from 1 species